GAUGAACGCUGGCGGCGUGCCUAAUACAUGCAAGUCGAGCGAACGGACGAGAAGCUUGCUUCUCUGAUGUUAGCGGCGGACGGGUGAGUGACACGUGGAUAACCUACCUAUAAGACUGGGAUAACUUCGGGAAACCGGAGCUAAUACCGGAUAAUAUUUUGAACCGCAUGGUUCAAAAGUGAAAGACGGUCUUGCUGUCACUUAUAGAUGGAUCCGCGCUGCAUUAGCUAGUUGGUAAGGUAACGGCUUACCAAGGCAACGGUGCAUAGCCGACCUGAGAGGGUGAUCGGCCACACUGGAACUGAGACACGGUCCAGACUCCUACGGGAGGCAGCAGUAGGGAAUCUUCCGCAAUGGGCGAAAGCCUGACGGAGCAACGCCGCGUGAGUGAUGAAGGUCUUCGGAUCGUAAAACUCUGUUAUUAGGGAAGAACAUAUGUGUAAGUAACUGUGCACAUCUUGACGGUACCUAAUCAGAAAGCCACGGCUAACUACGUG
rnacentral:rRNA from 1 species